rnacentral:rRNA from 1 species
GGACCUGACUGCUAUCGGAUUGAUACUAAGCCAUGCGAGUCAUUGUAGCAAUACAAGGCAUACGGCUCAGUAACGCGUAGUCAACCUAACCUAUGGACGGGAAUAACCUCGGGAAACUGAGAAUAAUGCCCGAUAGAACAUUAUGCCUGGAAUGGUUUAUGUUCCAAAUGAUUUAUCGCCGUAGGAUGGGACUGCGGCCUAUCAGUUUGUUGGUGAGGUAAUGGCCCACCAAGACUAUUACAGGUACGGGCUCUGAGAGGAGUAGCCCGGAGAUGGGUACUGAGACACGGACCCAGGCCCUAUGGGGCGCAGCAGGCGAGAAAACUUUGCAAUGUGCGAAAGCACGACAAGGUUAAUCCGAGUGGUUUCUGCUAAAGAAACCCUUUGUCAGUCCUAGAAACACUGAUGAAUAAGGGGUGGGCAAGUUCUGGUGUCAGCA